GACGUAGGGUCCAAGCGUUGUCCGGAUUUACUGGGCGUAAAGAGCGCGUAGGCGGUCUGUUAAGUGUGAAGCUAAAUCUCCGGGCUCAACCCGGAAACUAUUUCGCAUACUGGCAGACUAGAGUGAUGCAGAGGUUUGUGGAAUUCCUGGUGUAGCGGUGAAAUGCGUUGAUAUCAGGAGGAACACCCAUGGCGAAGGCAGCAAACUGGGCAUUAACUGACGCUGAGGCGCGAAAGCGUGGGUAGCAAACAGG
rnacentral:rRNA from 1 species